rnacentral:rRNA from 1 species
GACAUAGGUGGCGAACGUUAUCCGGAAUUAUUGGGCGUAAAGGGCGCGUAGGCGGUUUGUACAGUCAGACGUGAAAUUCCCGGGCUCAACCUGGGGGCUGCGUUUGAUACGUGCAGACUUGAGUUCGGAAGAGGGUCGUGGAAUUCCCAGUGUAGAGGUGAAAUUCGUAGAUAUUGGGAAGAACACCGGUGGCGAAGGCGGCGACCUGGUCCGAUACUGACGCUGAGGCGCGAAAGCGUGGGGAGCAAACAGG